UUCCGUUGUACUUGAUUGUAAAUUCCGUAAAUUCAGAAUCAUUUUCAAUGCAUAGCUUAAUUUAUUCCAGUAGUGUUACUAAGAUCUGCGCAUUCGUAAUAAUCAGUAUGUGGAUGUCCUGGAUGACAAGCUUCGGAAUCCAUACGAUUCAUGUUGCCAAAAUGAGAACAAACGAUAGCAAACGGAUGGUCAACUUGAGCGAACUUCGCAGGAAGAACCAGGCCGGGUUUACCGUUAUUUUCGAACUGUUUUCCUUAAUCCACGGCCACGAAUGUGUGAAGAAAGCAAUACUAUGAUUACGUUAGAGUGAAAUUACAAAAUAUUUGGCAAACGAAACAAAACUUGGAGGUGAUAUUAAUGUUCUGCUUCUUGGAGACCAUCGCCAAGUCUCAGCUGUUGCAUUACGUUUUGCACACAUUUAAGUGUUGGUUUGACUGCUACUGUUACUACCGAUCUGAAAAUUGCUGAAUGUCGAUUGGAAAAAUGCUGGCCAAGCGCAGUUCUGUAGUACGAGUGUACAAAACUUCGUUGGAGAAUGGAUAUGUGUUCCGAUGACAUCUGGUAUUUCUAGUAUUUCAGCAACCGCGUCGCGACCAACCGGAACGAUGGAGACUGAAAGAGGUCGUCAAAUAAAACGUGUUUUGACUGCUCGCUUACACUAUCUUACAUUUAUACGGUUGACUAAGAACAUCGGUGCAAAUGGUGGAACAGGAACAUUCACUUAGGGAAAAGUAAAGGUUCCCAUCGUGCGGAUAACGGACGACGAUGAUCGUCGAAAAGAUAUUUGAUAGUUUUAAAUUAUUUUAUU